UAAACCAGCUUCCAUAAUGAGCCAGUUUCAGGGGAGGAUGAACCAGAGUGGCGUCAUGUUUAAGUGGUCAGUGAUGUUGGACAAGGCCACCAUCCUCUUUUCACAACUGCUUCCAGGAAGAGCUGAAAAAAAAUUGUUGUGUUAAUUGUGAAGCUCAAAGGAUUCUAAUGAAGUUUAACGUUGCAUCUGUUAUGCAAAUCCCAGCAGCUUUAUACCCUGAAGUCCUAUAUUCUAUUAAUAAAUGUGCAACAA